AGGGUUUGAUCCUGGCUCAGAACGAACGCUGGCGGCAGGCUUAACACAUGCAAGUCGAACGAUGUAGCAAUACAUAGUGGCGCACGGGUGAGUAACGCGUGGGAAUAUGCCCUUUAGUACGGAAUAACACCGGGAAACUGGUGCUAAUACCGUAUACGCCCUUCGGGGGAAAGAUUUAUCGCUAAAGGAUUAGCCCGCGUGAGAUUAGGUAGUUGGUGGGGUAAUGGCCUACCAAGCCUACGAUCUCUAGCUGGUCUGAGAGGAUGAUCAGCCACACUGGAACUGAGACACGGUCCAGACUCCUACGGGAGGCAGCAGUGGGGAAUAUUGGACAAUGGGCGAAAGCCUGAUCCAGCCAUGCCGCGUGAGUGAUGAAGGCCUUAGGGUUGUAAAGCUCUUUUGUCAGGGAAGAUAAUGACGGUACCUGAAGAAUAAGCACCGGCUAACUUCGUGCCAGCAGCCGCGGUAAUACGAAGGGUGCUAGCGUUGUUCGGAAUCACUGGGCGUAAAGCGCGCGUAGGCGGCGAACCAAGUCAGAGGUGAAAGCCCAGGGCUCAACCCUGGAAUUGCCUUUGAAACUGGUUUGCUAGAGUGUCGGAGGGGAUAGCGGAAUUGCUAAUGUAGAGGUGAAAUUCGUAGAUAUUAGCAGGAACACCGGUGGCGAAGGCGGCUAUCUGGACGACAACUGACGCUGAGGCGCGAAAGCGCGGGGAUCAAACAGGAUUAGAUACCCUGGUAGUCCGCGCUGUAAACGAUGGGUGCUAGCCGUAGGGGGGGAUACCUCUCUGU
rnacentral:rRNA from 1 species